rnacentral:lncRNA from 1 species
GUAUUUCAAAGCUCUCUGGCUCCUGGGAAUGAGCAGUGCCCUCUCAUCCUGUAAAAAUUGUGGACAUCACACGCUGAUGUACAGACAUGGUGCCAGUGCCUCCCUUCUUUGGGGUCUUGGAAAACCUGGUGCCACAAUGGGAUCUAAGUAGCCUUGGAUCAAUACAGAUUCGUGUUUCUCACACCGAAGUUCAGGACUCUGGCAGCUCCAGGUCCCCUGAGGCCCUGCGGAAACAGUCACUUGAAGUGAGGUGGACCCUGGUGCUACUUGCAAUUCCUCCAAGAAUUCAACCCAGCCAGCAAGACGGAGGGCCUCCCAAAUGCUGUGAUCUGCUCCUUGCUGCUCUGCUGGGAUGUCACUGCCCCCUGUGCGUUCCUGCGGGUGAGGUCUUCUCCCAGAAGCGAGACAAUGAACAGGACCCAAGUGAUUUCAUUGGCCAGACCCUCAAACUGUUGGUGAAGAGGAACGUUUCCUUGGAAUUAAGCUGCCGCUAAGUAAAGGUCAAGGCACGGGGCAGCUGGAUGUCCGUGUGGAUCCUGCAAAUGGAGAGGCUCUGCUGUGGAAACAGAAUGGAACUUAACCUCAGCUAAAACAGUGGUGGAG